UGGGGGGUGUACUCAUGAACACGCAAAGGUCUACUGGAUGCUGUGCUUCCACCGGACCACACUGUGGUAGAUGUCUUCCACUUGCCCCUCCAGACCACCUCCCCACCCUCCGGCCAUGCCCAGUGUCCUGCAAUGCUGACCUUUGUGAAUGGGCUCAUCCAAGGCUACUUUGCCCUGGCUUCUGGUCAGGUUCAGCCAAUGGAAGGCACUGGGAGCAGGAAGUUAUUGCUUCCUCGAACUUGCAGUGAGUUGUCUAAUUCUCCUAACAAAGGCUGCAGCUCUGACCAGGUGGCCGUAUUCUAACCACUUCAGCACUUGUGCCUUCAGGUCUAGGAGAGAUGAAGCCUGCUCACCCUGGGAUUCCUCACCACUUAUCUGUAGUUUGGCUGGGAAAGCUCUGCUUGAAGCCACAAACCUCCCUGGCGCGGAUUAAGCCUUCAAAUUGGCUUACAUCCACCUUCCUCAUUUUCCUUGGACUAGCCCUGCCAGGGCACGUUCCUUUCAUGGCAAGUGGCAGGAGCCCAGGAAGUUGAGCAGAGACCCUUGAUGCCUCCUGAGGCCUCGAGCUGACCUGCAUCAGUUGUCACUGGAUCUCCCUCCCCUUCUGGGCUCUGGCUGACUUCAGCCCACAGCAGACACCAGCAGGAAAUGGAGGGGAGUUGGAAAGCACCAGCAGAGUGCUGACUAUUCUAACGCCCUUACCAGUGGACGAUGGCUUGGCAGCUGUAACCUGGUUCCGACACGGAAGGCCCCAGCCGCUUUUCAGCAACC
ensembl:lncRNA